UACGGGGGGGGGCAAGCGUUGUUCGGAAUUACUGGGCGUAAAGGGCGCGUAGGCGGCUUAACAAGUCACUUGUGAAAUCUCCGGGCUUAACUCGGAACGGCCAAGUGAAACUGUCAAGCUAGAGUGCAGAAGGGGCAAUCGGAAUUCUUGGUGUAGCGGUGAAAUGCGUAGAUAUCAAGAGGAACACCUGAGGUGAAGACGGGUUGCUGGGCUGACACUGACGCUGAGGCGCGAAAGCGUGGGGAGCAAACAGG
rnacentral:rRNA from 1 species